rnacentral:rRNA from 1 species
UACGGAGGGUGCAAGCGUUGUCCGGAAUCACUGGGCGUAAAGGGCGCGUAGGCGGCUCAUGAAGGCUGUGGUGAAAGUCCGGGGCUCAACCUCGGAUCGGCCGUGGCGACUCGUGGGCUGGAGCACUGUAGAGGCGGGUGGAAUUCCGGGUGUAGCGGUGGAAUGCGUAGAGAUCCGGAAGAACACCAGUGGCGAAGGCGGCCUGCUGGGCAGUUUUGCUGACACUGAGGCGCGACAGCGUGGGGAGCAAACAGG